GAUGAACGCUGGCGGCGUGCCUAAUACAUGCAAGUCGAGCGAACAGACGAGGAGCUUGCUCCUCUGACGUUAGCGGCGGACGGGGGAGUAACACGUGGAUAACCUACCUAUAAGACUGGGAUAACUUCGGGAAACCGGAGCUAAUACCGGAUAAUAUAUUGAACCGCAUGGUUCAAUAGUGAAAGACGGUUUUGCUGUCACUUAUAGAUGGAUCCGCGCCGCAUUAGCUAGUUGGUAAGGUAACGGCUUACCAAGGCGACGAUGCGUAGCCGACCUGAGAGGGUGAUCGGCCACACUGGAGCUGAGACACGGUCCAGACUCCUACGGGAGGCAGCAGUAGGGAAUCUUCCGCAAUGGGCGAAAGCCUGACGGAGCAACGCCGCGUGAGUGAUGAAGGUCUUCGGAUCGUAAAACUCUGUUAUUAGGGAAGAACAACUGUGUAAGUAACUAUGCACGUCUUGACGGUACCUAAUCAGAAAGCCACGGCUAACUACGUG
rnacentral:rRNA from 1 species